AUUGAACGCUGGCGGCAUGCUUUACACAUGCAAGUCGAACGGUAACAGGGUGCUUGCACCGCUGACGAGUGGCGAACGGGUGAGUAAUGCGUCGGAACGUGCCGAGUAGUGGGGGAUAACGCAGCGAAAGUUGUGCUAAUACCGCAUACGUACUGAGGUAGAAAGUGGGGGACCUUCGGGCCUCACGCUAUUCGAGCGGCCGACGUCUGAUUAGCUAGUAGGUGAGGUAAAGGCUCACCUAGGCGACGAUCAGUAGCGGGUCUGAGAGGAUGAUCCGCCACACUGGGACUGAGACACGGCCAAGACUCCUACGGGAGGCAGCAGGGGGGAAUUUUGGACAAUGGGCGAAAGCCUGAUCCAGCCAUGCCGCGUGUCUGAAGAGGGCCUUCGGGUUGUAAAGGACUUUUGUCGGGGAGGAAAUCCCCAGCGUUAAUACCGCUGGGGGAUGACAGUACCUGAAGAAUAAGCACCGGCUAACUACGUGCCAGCCGCCGCCGUAACAC
rnacentral:rRNA from 1 species